CCCGUGUAUAUAAGGCAUCUAAAAAACCUAAAUUUCUCUACAGACUCAUUCUUCUCCUUCGCCGCAUCAUACUUGAAACCCUAGAUUCACAUCUCGGCUACGCUAAUUGCAGAUCAUUCUAUCGCAUCAGGUUUGUUUUUGGUACGAUUACGAUGUUGAGUUCGGCUUUUGAAAAGGAUUUGAUGACCGAGGAGAUGAUAGGGAUCAAGGUAAAUUAGCAAUUGAGGCAACCGAAGACUAUGCACAAGUAGCAAAACUCCAUUCAGCUCUAUAGUUGGUUGACCACAAGAUAAGAAAGGUAGUGUUCGGUGCGAUUUUGAAGAAUAUAUGUAGUGAACAAGUAACUCAAAUCUCUGCCAUGGAAUUUCUCUUCAUGGCAUAGAACAAUGGCAGGUGCUAUGGCGAAACAUCGGGCCUUUGGAAUUUCUCUUCAGCCAAAACUAUAUUCUCACUACCUGCACUGUUGACAUUUCAUGAAUAACAACGACCCAAACACUGUGGAUGAGCUUUUGGAUCCACAUGUAGUCAAGAAAAGGAAAUUUUUAUGAUAGUGUGAAACUGGAACAAGGGGCUGCGGCUUCACUACUUAAGGAAUGAAUGAUAUUAUUCAUGUAUAGGUGAGCACUUGAGCUGGCAAAAACCAGAUCUUAUUCAGUGUCGGUUAGGUGUAUAAUGUUGGACAUAUGGUUCCACUUGAUCAAGCAAAUGUUUGAUUGAAGGUGUUAAAGAUGUGGAUACAAGGAAGCCAUAAGUAACUAAAGAGGGAAGAUUCAUACCUCACAUUGAUUCAUCAAAACUUGAGAGAGACCUACGCAACAAGUCUUACAUAUGUUAAAGGUCAUUGCAGCCAAUAUUAUUACUGAUCGAGAUUCCAGAAGGUUUUGAGGAUUUGGUUUUAUUAGUUAUACAUCAACUGAUGCAGCUAAUAGCGCUCUCUGUUUCCCUGCAUAAAACCGUAAAUCAAAGAGACGAACUCUCAUCCAGCAUCAGUGGUCGUAUUCUGACAAAGGCCCGGCUACAAGUGGCAGCUCCCGAUGCAUAAAGGCAGUAUUGAGUGUCUGUUUAAUGGUGGAAAUGGAGAAUCUGGCAACCCAGACAGCAGAUCCGACUGAUUUAGGGACCAGCUACGUUAAUCCAAUAAGCACGGUUAUCAUGUUCUUUGUUCCAAUUUGCUAGAUCCAGAGUUUAAACAGUGGUGAUAUUUAUUAUUCUGGUGUUUAUAGGCGUUGGUGUUGACCGGAGGCUGUGGAGGCGUUUCUGUUGACUGGAGGCAUAUGGAUCUUGAGUUGGGGUAUUCUUAAUUAUGUUCAUGGUGUGUGAUUCGUGUAGUUCGUGUGUUAUGUAGGUGGGUUUUGCUACAAUAAGUUUAAGAUGAAAACCCCAUAAAUAUUGGUCGAGGGCAUUUAAUCAUGGUUCUUAGGGUUUUGGCAUCAUUGCUGGUCAUGCAACUUCAACCGAUCGAAGCUGGUUAUUGAUUUCAGUCAUUGGGGGAGUUAUCAUGUGUAAAGUUUUUCAUGUGCAGAGUGAUGAAUUUGAUUUGAUUUAAGUGCAUUCUUUGUUUAUUUGAAGAACAUCGACUUCUCCAAGCACCCAAGGAACCUUUCUCUGGGAAGUCAAACUAUAUUGUUAUCAGGGCCCUCAUGUAAACUAAUUUUUUUGCAACACUUAAACAGAUCUUGCCGGCAUCAUCUAAUGUUUUUUGGUCACUUUGUGUUUACGAAACUCUACCAGCAAAUGCUUGCCAAAGCUUUGGAUCAUUACUUUAAAGCCAAGUUGUUACUGCAAGAUGUCACUGAUUUUUCACUCAAGGUCCAAUAUGGAGCAUCCUAUAAGCUCAGGUGGUUUUAAUGUAUGUGAUGGUCCCACCAACUUGGGUCAGUUACCAAUUAAACGUACAGGUAAAUACAUAAGCUACCUCCACCAAUUCGAUUACUUACCAAAUGGGUCGGGUUACAGUUACAGGUCAAAAAUACAUAAUCUUAGUACAUGUCGAAAUCUGUGUCUUUUGUGGAAGUCUUUUUGUCGGUUUCUUUCUUGCUAUAUUCAACAACACCGCUUGCAACUGUUGGCAAAUUUGACCCAUAUAGUUUAAGUUGAUUUAGGUUUAUCCUUAUAUGGUCAGUUCGUAGAAAAAAAAAUACCUAAAAGAGGAACAUGUCAAAGUUGUUAAAUUGGAUGAAAGUCAUUCAAAGUGUAUAAAAUAAAAUAAAAGAUCAUUACGUACUGCAUGACUUUUGUAUACAUACUUCCAUGCGUUAGCUAUUUAUUAAGAAAUGGACGCAAAUGCGUGACCCGACCCGUUUCGGACUGGUAUAUAAACAACCCAUUUCAAUCGGAAGAAAUGUUUGCUAUACUUGGCUUUACUUUAAAUAGCUCACACAAUCCAUUUCAAGGUUCCCAAGCAUCUAUUUUAUUCUUUUCAACUAUAUUCUGCUAUGAACAUGGUGGUUGGAUCUUUUAUUCAGUUUACUCAUGUUGCAGCUGAAGUGGGAAAAAGAGCCACAUGCAUUGCUUCAAUCUCCGUCUUUAACAAACACAAGACAUGGUAUUACAGGGGUUGCCAACAAUCUGAGACAUAAGCACACCAAAGUUUACAUGAAAGGAUGAAGCGACAGUAGGAGAGCCAUUCAAGUAUGAACAAAAAAUAUGUGCAUUCAAGUUUAAGUUUACAUGAAAGGAUGAAGCAACAGGCCAAAACCAAAAAAAUUAUUAUUUUGUACCCUUUAAUUUGUUUGCUCCGAAUAGUUUACAAAACGAUUUUUUAAUGUGUACUGAACAACAUGAAUAGAUUGGGUUAAUUUUUAACUUUUGGAACUAAAAGUUUUACCUCUC